rnacentral:rRNA from 1 species
AUGCUUGGGCGCAACAAUAUGUCGCCCGACAGACUAGAGGCCGUGCUGAUGCUGUUGAUGCUCAUGGUUUACAAUGCUUCAGGAGCAUUUGUUGGUAUCAACAUUGGCACUAACGUGUCAGACCUGCCAUCAGCAUCAGACAUAGUCUCCAUCCUUAAAGCCAAGAAGAUUCAACAUGUUCGCUUGGUUGAUUCAGACCAUGAGAUGCUAGUCGCCCUUGCGAAUACUGGAAUUGAAGUGAUGGUUGGUGUGCCAAAUAAUCAGCUGCUCCGCAUGGGGCAAUCUCGUCCGACAGCUGCUGAUUGGAUUAACAAGAAUGUUGCUGCCUACAUUCCAGCAACAAACAUCACGUAUAUUGCCGUGGGUGAUGAGAUUCUUACUACUGUCCCAAAUGCAGCUCUUGUUCUAGUACCUGCAUUGCAAUUCCUCCAAUCCGCACUGUUGGCUGCGAACCUCAAUACCCAGGUGAAACUAUCAAGUCCUCAUUCAAUGGAUAUGAUCUCUAAGGCAUUUCCUCCUUCUACUGCCACUUUCAACUCGACAUGGAGCUCAGUAAUGUUACAGUAUCUUGGAUUUCUGAAGAAGACAGGAUCUUCCUUCAUGCUUAAUGCUCAACCAUACUAUGGCUAUGUGAAAGGGCAAGGUGUAUUCCCUUUAGAGUAUGCCCUGUUUCGAUCACUCAAUCCCAACAGUCAGAUUGCAGAUCCGAACACCAAUUUGUUCUAUACCAAUAUGUUUGACGCUAUGGUUGAUGCCACAUACAACUCAAUAAAAGCAAUGAAUUUCACCGAUAUUCCUGUUAUGGUCACAGCUUCUGGUUGGCCAUGGCAUAGUGCACGCAAAGAACCGGCUGCAGAUGUUGAUAAUGCUCUGGCCUACAAUACAAAUCUCAUACGCCAUGUACUAAAUAACUCUGGUACCCCUAGCCAGCCAAAUAAUCAAGUAAGCACAUACCUGUUUGAGUUGUUCAGUGAGGAUCUUCGGUCAGGAUCUGUUUCGGGGGAAAGUUGGGGGAUUAUGUUUAGCAAUGCAAGUGCAGUGUACUCCCUGACAUUUGAAGAUGUGGCUACAGCUAGUACUGAUUCACCGGCUUUGCACGGGAUGUUUUGUGUGGCAAAUUCAAGUGCACCCCAUAGUGCAUUGAAGCAAAGUUUGGAUUGGGCAUGUGGCCCUGGUUCCGCAAACUGCAGCGCAAUUCAACCUGGGCAGCCGUGCUACAAACCAGAUGACAUUGUAGCUGUUGCUUCGUAUGCUUUCAAUGAUUAUUAUCAUAGAACACAAGCAAGUGGAGGAACAUGCAACUUUAAUAGCACAGCAACGAUAUCAUCUACGGAUCCAAGCCAUGGUUCAUGUAAAUUCGCAGGAAGCACCGGUGCCAAUGGCAGUGGUAUGGCUUCUGGACCUGCGAGCCAAGAUAGUUCUGCUUCACAAUCUCAAUCUUUCUGGUUGACUUGGCUAAUCGCCAUGCUGCUGCCCGUUCUACUUCUCAUGUAA